GGAUGUGAGGGCGAUCUGGCUGCGACAUCUGUCACCCCAUUGAUCGCCAGGGUUGAUUCGGCUGAUCUGGCUGGCUAGGCGGGUGUUCCCCUCCUCCCUCACCGAUCCAUGUGCGUCCCUCCCGAAGCUGCGCGCUCGGUUGGUCAAAGAGGAUGACCGGAUGACCUUCCCCCCCCAGGAGAGGACCGGUCUUCGGUCAAGGGUAUACGAGUAGCUGCGCUCCCCUGCUAGAACCUCCAAACAAACCCAAAGGUUACCUUGUUUGCUACUUAUUCUUCCAAAGAAAUUAGUUUAGAAUCAUUAGGUAAACUUCUUCCCCUAAAAUUGA
rnacentral:snRNA from 1 species